rnacentral:lncRNA from 1 species
AGUGCCAUGCAAGGGGGGUGUCACACAAGGGGGUGUCACCCAAGGGGGUGUCACACAAGGGGGUGCCAUGCAAGGGGGUGCCAUGAAGGGGGUGUCACCCAAGGGGGUGUCACACAAGCAGUGCCAUGCAAGGGGGGUGUCACCCAAGGGGGUGUAACCCAAGGGGGUGUCACACAAGGGGGUGCCAUGAAGGGGGUGCCAGACAAGGGGGUGUCAGGCAAGGGCAGGGGGUGUCACACAAGCAGUGCCAUGCAAAGGGGGUGUCACACAAGGGGGUGCCAGGCAAGGGGGUGUCACACAUCAGGGUGUCACACAUCAGGGUGUCACACAAGGGCUGCCAGGCAAGGGGGUGCCAGACAAGGGCAGCGGGUGCCAUGAAGGGGGUGUCACACAUCAGGGUGUCACACAAGGGGUGCCAGGCAAGGGGGUGUCACACAAGGGGGUGUCACACAAGGGGGUGCCACACAAGGUCAGGGGGUGCCAGCCCUGCUGGGCCCAGCCAUGCCCCCCUCUGCCUGCACCCACAGACCCCCCAGAGAGACCCCGGGGGGCCAAGGCCCCGGUGGUCCCAGCCCCUCAGCCCCGCACCCCAGGGCCGGCCCACCCCUGCCACAAUCCCUUCUGCAGCCACCCCGUGCCCAUGCACGGGGAUUUGGGGAUGGCCGUGCCCCCCAACCCGCCUGGGGCUGGGCACUGCCAGGCCCCCCCCAGCCGCCGGCUGUAACCGCAGCCGUAACCCAAUGCCGCCCCGUGGCCCCCCCGUGCCGCGCUGUGGGCCCGCGGGGAGGCAGGGGACGGGCAGGAGUCACCGGGAGCUGGGGCUUCAGGGCCAGAACUUGCUGGGAAAAGGCCCCCAAAAGCUGCCACUGCCCUCCGUGACGGGCACGUCCCCAAGGCUUGUCCCCGAGGGGCAGCCGAAGCCCCCGGACGCUGCCACGGGGCUGAGGGUGGAGCUGCCAUGAAGAGCCUGAAGGCCAAGUUCAAGAAGGCAGACGUAAGUGCUGUCCCCGAGGGGCGAGGGGACGUGGGGACCCGCCCCGGGACAUCCACAGGGACGUGGGGACCUGCC